rnacentral:rRNA from 1 species
GUGGCGAACGGGUGAGUAACACGUGAGCAAUCUGCCCUUGACUCUGGGAUAACUGCGGGAAACUGUGGCUAAUACCGGAUACUUUCCUCGCUGGGCAUCCAGCGGGGAAGAAAGAAUUUCGGUCAAGGAUGAGCUCGCGGCCUAUCAGCUAGUUGGUGAGGUAAAGGCUCACCAAGGCGACGACGGGUAGCCGGCCUGAGAGGGUGACCGGCCACACUGGAACUGAGACACGGUCCAGACUCCUACGGGAGGCAGCAGUGGGGAAUAUUGCACAAUGGGCGAAAGCCUGAUGCAGCAACGCCGCGUGAGGGAUGAAGGCCUUCGGGUUGUAAACCUCUUUUAGCAGGGAAGAAGCGAAAGUGACGGUACCUGCAGAAAAAGCACCGGCUAACUACGUGCCGGCAGCCGCGGUAAUACGUAGGGUGCAAGCGUUGUCCGGAAUUAUUGGGCGUAAAGAGCUCGUAGGCGGUUUGUCACGUCUGCUGUGAAAAUCCGAGGCUCAACCUCGGACUUGCAGUGGGUACGGGCAGGCUAGAGUGCGGUAGGGGAGAAGGGAAUUCCUGGUGUAGCGGUGGAAUGCGCAGAUAUCAGGAGGUACACCAAUGGCGAAGGCACUUCUCUGGGCCGUAACUGACGCUGAGGAGCGAAAGCGUGGGGAGCGAACAGGAUUAGAUACCCUGGUAGUCCAC